rnacentral:rRNA from 1 species
GCUUGACUGUAGCUUGUAAUUGGGUUCGGGCUUUUUUGCGCAGCCUAGGUGGGAGGCAACGAUGAUUUUUUCCGGAAAAAUUUGAGCCGUUAGUGAGAGACCACUCUGAAAAGGCUAGAAUCCUAAUAAUGAUCCUUGAAUCAGGACAUUUGACAGUUGCAGGUGGGCAGUUUUACUGGGGCGGUAUUCUCCUAAAAAGUAACGGAGGGGUGCAAAGGUUCCCUCAAGCUGGACGGAAAUCAGCUUAAGAGUGUAAAGGCAAAAGGGAGCUUGACUGCAAGACCUACAAGUCGAGCAGGGGCGAAAGCCGGCCUUAGUGAUCCGACGGUACCACGUGGAAGGGCCGUCGCUCAACGGAUAAAAGUUA